UGGAUCCACACUUUGAUUCUGGCUCAGGAUGAACGCUAGCUACAGGCUUAACACAUGCAAGUCGAGGGGAAACGACAUCGAAAGCUUGCUUUUGAUGAGCGUCGACCGGCGCACGGGUGAGUAACGCGUAUCCAACCUGCCCACCACUUGGGGAUAACCUUGCGAAAGUAAGACUAAUACCCAAUGAUAUCCCACGAAGGCAUCCGAAUGGGAUUAAAGAUUUAUCGGUGAUGGAUGGGGAUGCGUCUGAUUAGCUUGUUGGCGGGGUAACGGCCCACCAAGGCUACGAUCAGUAGGGGUUCUGAGAGGAAGGUCCCCCACAUUGGAACUGAGACACGGUCCAAACUCCUACGGGAGGCAGCAGUGAGGAAUAUUGGUCAAUGGGCGAGAGCCUGAACCAGCCAAGUAGCGUGCAGGACGACGGCCCUAUGGGUUGUAAACUGCUUUUAUAAGGGAAUAAAGUGAGUCUCGUGAGACUUUUUGCAUGUACCUUAUGAAUAAGGACCGGCUAAUUCCGUGCCAGCAGCCGCGGUAAUACGGAAGGUCCGGGCGUUAUCCGGAUUUAUUGGGUUUAAAGGGAGCGUAGGCCGGAGAUUAAGCGUGUUGUGAAAUGUAGUGGCUCAACCUCUGCACUGCAGCGCGAACUGGUCUUCUUGAGUACGCACAACGUGGGCGGAAUUCGUGGUGUAGCGGUGAAAUGCUUAGAUAUCACGAAGAACUCCGAUUGCGAAGGCAGCUCACGGGAGCGCAACUGACGCUGAAGCUCGAAAGUGCGGGUAUCGAACAGGAUUAGAUACCCUGGUAGUCCGCACGGUAAACGAUGGAUGCCCGCUGUUGGCCUGAAUAGGUCAGCGGCCAAGCGAAAGCAUUAAGCAUCCCACCUGGGGAGUACGCCGGCAACGGUGCAACUCAAAUGAAUUGACGGA
rnacentral:rRNA from 1 species